rnacentral:rRNA from 1 species
AUUGAACGCUGGCGGCAGGCCUAACACAUGCAAGUCGAACGAGUGGCGGACGGGAGAGUUAUGUAUGGGAAAGUGCCUGAUGGAGGGGGAUAACUACUGGAAACGGUAGCUAAUACCGCAUACAUUCGGAUGGGCCCAGAUGGGUUUAGCUAGUAGGUGGGGUAAAGGCUCACCUAGGCGACGAUCCCUAGCUGGUCUGAGAGGAUGACCAGCCACACUGUAACUGAGACACGGUCCAGACUCCUACGGGAGGCAGCAGUGGGGAAUAGUGCACAAUGGGCGCAAGCCUGAUGCAGCCAUGCCGCGUGUAUGAAGAAGGCCUUCGGGUUGUAAAGUACUUUCAGCGGGGAGGCGUUACCCGCAGAAGAAGCACCGGCUAACUCCGUGCCAGCCGCCGCGGUAAUUC